rnacentral:rRNA from 1 species
CAUAGCGACUAUCGUGGCAUAUCAAUAAGCGGAGGAAAAGAAACUAACAAGGAUUCCCUUAGUAACGGCGAGUGAAGCGGGAAGAGCUCAAAUUUGAAAUCUUCAAGGUUUUACCUUGACGAAUUGUAGUUUAUAGAAGUGUUUUCUGUAGUGGAGUUCGGUAAAAGUUCUUUGGAAUAGGACAUCAUAGAGGGUGAGAAUCCCGUAUUUGACCGUUACUUUCCUAGCUGUGUGAUACACUUUCAAAGAGUCGGAUUGUUUGGGAAUGCAGUCCAAAAUGGGUGGUAAAUUUCAUCUAAAGCUAAAUAUUGGCGAGAGACCGAUAGCGAACAAGUACCGUGAGGGAAAGAUGAAAAGAACUUUGAAAAGAGAGUUAAACAGUACGUGAAAUUGUCAAAAGGGAAGCGUUUGACACCAGCUGUUGUUUUUCCGAAAAUCAAUUACGAAUGUUUUGUUUUUGAGGAGUUAUGACUUCAUCGGCCUGCUCCUUUCUUUAUGAAACUUUCUUAAUGCACUUUUCGGUUAACAAGUCAACAUCAAUUUCUUUUGUUGUAAAAGGGUAUGAGGAAGGUGGCUUUCUUUUCGGAGAAAGUGUUUAUAGCCUUGUGCCUCUGCAAUCGGAGAGAUUGAGGUCUGCAGCGUAGAUCCUUCGGGGUUAGAUACAGUUUGUGCUAAGUUAUAGCUUUUUCAUAGACAACUUGUUGACUAUGAUUAGUCUUGUAGCUUACUCGCUUAUGCUAUUUUACCUACGCUUAGGAUGUUGACGAGACUGUCGAUCUC